rnacentral:misc_RNA from 1 species
CAACCCUCAAGCACUGCUUGGCGUUGGGGCGCUACGCGCUGAGCGUAGGCCCCUAAAAUCAGUGGCGGGCCCGCCGUGGCUCCGGGCGUAGUAGCAACACCUCGCCCCGGGACUGCGGCGCGCUCCGGCCGUUAAACCCCCACACCAUACUGAAGG